CACAUUGCGCCCCCUGGACAUUCCGGGGGGCAUGCCUGUCCGAGCGUCAUUUCUGCCCUCAAGCACGGCUUGUGUGUUGGGUGUGGUCCCCCCGGGGACCUGCCCGAAAGGCAGCGGCGACGUCCGUCUGGUCCUCGAGCGUAUGGGGCUCUGUCACUCGCUCGGGAAGGACCUGCGGGGGUUGGUCACCACCACAUUUUCCAUUAUGGUUGACCUCGGAUCAGGUAGGAGUUACCCGCUGAACUUAAGCAUAUCAAUAAGCGGAGGAAAAGAAACCAACCGGGAUUGCCUCAGUAACGGCGAGUGAAGCGGCAAGAGCUCAAAUUUGAAAUCUGGCCCUUUCAGGGUCCGAGUUGUAAUUUGCAGAGGAUGCUUCGGGUGCGGUCCCCAUCUAAGUGCCCUGGAACGGGCCGUCAUAGAGGGUGAGAAUCCCGUCUGGGAUGGGCGGCCGUGCCCGUGUGAAGCUCCUUCGACGAGUCGAGUUGUUUGGGAAUGCAGCUCUAAGUGGGUGGUAAAUUUCAUCUAAAGCUAAAUACUGGCCGGAGACCGAUAGCGCACAAGUAGAGUGAUC
rnacentral:rRNA from 1 species